rnacentral:lncRNA from 1 species
GCUGUUUGGUGGUUUUUGGUCUUUGUUUUCUGCGAGACAGGGGUGGACCGAUGUCGAUUGUUACUCAUUGUGUCGAUUUCUUGCUAUCGAUGUGCGCUCGUUACCUACGAGGAGGUGGUUAUGAUUACCAAUUCGGCGAGAGUAGGACCAAGGCAGGAUGUACUAUGUUUUCCACCCAAAAGGAUUAUGUAUUUAAGAUGAGAAUCAUUGGGAGAUUCGAUCUAGCCAUGUCCAUAUCGGGAAUUAUAUAAGGUGUAAAGUUAUGGCACGCAGGGAAUAUUCGGCAACAGUCGAAGAUGA